rnacentral:rRNA from 1 species
CCUACGGGAGGCAGCAGUGGGGGAUAUUGCACAAUGGGGGAAACCCUGAUGCAGCGACGCCGCGUGGGUGAAGAAGCGCCUCGGCGCGUAAAGCCCUGUCAGCAGGGAAGAAAAUGACGGUACCUGAAGAAGAAGCCCCGGCUAACUACGUGCCAGCAGCCGCGGUAAUACGUAGGGGGCAAGCGUUAUCCGGAUUUACUGGGUGUAAAGGGGGCGCAGACGGCGAUGCAAGCCAGGAGUGAAAGCCCGGGGCCCAACCCCGGGACUGCUCUUGGAACUGCGUGGCUAGAGUGCAGGAGGGGCAGGCGGAAUUCCUGGGGUAGCGGUGAAAUGCGUAGAGAGCAGGAGGAACACCGGUGGCGAAGGCGGCCUGCUGGACUGCAACUGACGUUGAGGCCCGAAAGCGUGGGGAGCAAACAGGAUUAGAUACCCCAGUAGUC